GAAGCGGGGUUCGGCCACGCCGCCCGGGGUGUUAGCAGCACCCGCGGGC
rnacentral:misc_RNA from 1 species